rnacentral:lncRNA from 1 species
GGGGGGGGCAAGAAGCAUGAACAGGAGACAGAAAAAGCAGAGCUCAGAAAAUCUCAUAUCUUCUUUGUUGGUCCCAAAGUCACAAUGAAGAGCUGAGAAGCCACAGGCAGUCAGACAGACCCCGAAAUCGGCUUGGCUAAUAAGCUGUUUAUUGGUCAAGGUUGAACUCUGAGGUUUUAGAGACCAUGAAAACAAACAGAGGUAAACUUCAGUUUGGUAAAAAGAACCAAAAUCCCAGGUGGCAAGUGCUGAGAAGAGUCAGGAGGAAACCCAGAGGAGGGUUGUCUGUGUGGGGUGACUCAGAUGGGGCAGAUCCCAUGCCAUGGUGUUGAAGGCUGGUGCAAGCUGAUGUGGCAGACUUACUCAAGCUGGACCCUUAAGUCUUACCUAACUGCUUCAUGAGAAACCAAAACCUGGGGGAGAGAUCAAGAAAAGGAGGUUGCAUCCCAUACCCAAUGCCAGCCCAAAGAAAAGAAGAAGGAGUCACAGGAAUGAUAGACAAGAUUAGUGUCACCGGGUCCCCUGCAGGAGUGAUGACUCAAACAGGAGUAACCAGAAGAUCACAAGUCUCAGAGGACCUGAUUCGGUUCCCAGCACCCACAAUGGAUGCUCGCAAACUGCCUGUAACUACAGCUCUGGAUGAUCUAGCACCCUCUCC